CUACCUGCUUAUUCCUCCAUUAAUCAUAAUUAAUUUUAUUUUGUUAGACCGGCCAUUCCGACACCCCAGUUGCACUCGUGCACGUCCUCGUGCACGAAUGUAACUGCCUUGCGCACCCCUCUCACGGCGCGUUGCGACCGUCCUGGUAGUAUCGCCCGCCUCGCGCCGAGCAGAGCGCGUUGUUCUCCGCGGGUCGUUGUGAGCGACACGUCUGCUCCUCAGGAUACAACACUUUGUUUUGAAGACAGCAGAUCGAUAACUGAGGGCACGCGUGCUUUUUUUUCUCCUUGGUAUUUCUGCUCAUUUGGAAAUAGGAAGAUACUUUAAGAAUGCAUCGCAGUCAAAGGAACUUUUAAAGAGCCAUAGGGAGAGAGAUGUUGAGCAGGAGAGCCAUUUUGAACCCGUUCAUCGGAAAGACGUUGUUCUCGCCAAGCCGGAGAUGAGACGCAGAUUGAAAACCAUAAUUUAUCGAUCCAGUUUGAAAAGGGGCCGACUACAGACCCAGCCCCAUCCUUUCAGCCCGAGGAUGGUGGGCCAGUGAGGCCUAGCUGCAGUAUCCCAGAGGCCCGCCUUUGCAGUCGGCGAGAGGAGAGGUCGUCACCAUGACAACGCCCUGGCCAUCCCCUGCCCCCUCAUCUGCGGCCAGGCUCCUCUACCUCCUCCUCCUCCUCCUCCUCCCCCUCCUCCCGGCGGCGUUCGCCCAGACCCAAGGGCCGGUCCCGAGCCAGGCACCGCCCCCCACCACGCACCCCUUAGCCCGGCCGGAGUGCAGCAGGAAGGAACACCCAAAGGUGUCCAUCCAAGCUCUCAGCCCGUGGAUCUCGUUUUUUUCCUACCUCGGUGUGAGAGACUACUCCCAGCUGACCCUUGACCUGACGAGGAAUGAGCUGAUCUUGGGCGCCAGAAACUACCUCUUCCGACUGGACCUGGGUAACAUGUCAUUAAUACAGGUAUGGGCCCAUUUUCUACUUAUGAUCCUCAGCCCUGCAAGUCUCUUCCACUCUAUUCCUAUCUCUCUCUCUCCCUCUCUCUGUCUCUCACCGUGUCUCUCUCUGUUUCUCUCUAUCUCUCACUCAUCAUUAUGUAUCGCCUCUCACUCUGCUGUGAGGAUGUUUCUCUCUAGUGUCUGAGUGACUUUCCUCAGACACCAGAGAGACUUUCCUCAGACACUCUUCAUCCUCCUCCACCACCUCCUCCCAUCCCCUCGCCCUCCUACCGUCUGUCGUCAUGUGGUCCAGUGAGACACGUCUCCUGGCCUGCUCUGUUCUUUGAUGUCGUCAUUGGCAUGGGGACACAUUCAGUGCUGCGAUACCUCUGAGGGGGUGGAGGUGGUGCAUAUUUUUGCAAAAGAGUGUAUGCGUGUGUGUGUGUGUGUGUGUGUGUGUG